rnacentral:lncRNA from 1 species
AGGCUGCGCUGCUGUCAGACGUGUCCAUCACCACAUGUGACAUUAAUGACAUCAUCCUGACCUCGCAGGAUCCCAGAAUAAUGAUGCUUGAAGGAUUUUCCAAAGUCAUCUACUUCCAACUCUCUUGAAAACUUUAAAGACAUUGGGCCUGAAAGUUUCAGUGACUUGUCCAGGGAAACCCGGUUUAUGACAGAAGGAAAACUGCAGUUCCCUCUCAGAUAAGUCACCAAAAGCAUCUUAUCAAAGGGGCCUUCUGAGAAAUACAUCCCAGCUGAAACGAACAAAAGUUCCUGCCUUCAAGCAUCCCAUCUCUUUUCUGUGAAUUGUCUGUACCAAGAGCUGAGCCACAGUUCUCUACACUCACCCAGGAGCCACAGAAAGUGAACAUCCCUCAGGGUCUUCGUAUUUUGUGCUGGCAGGGGACUCUAAACAUCGGGAGUAGAGGAACAGGCCCUUGCCAUAUUGUGCUCUCUAGCUCUGCACAGCCCACUGUCAGCACCAUUGGCUGCCAAGACUAUCCUUUCUCCAUUGAAUUACCUUGGCACCUCUGUGGGAAGUCAACCGGCAAUGUAUGUAUGGUCUGUUUUGGACUCUGUUCACUUCUGAUGAUCUGUGUUAAUCCUUUUGCUAAUACUACACUGUCUUGAUGAGUCUCUCUUUACGGUAAGUCUUGAAAUCAGGUAGUGCAAGUCUUCCAACUUUGUCCUUUUUAAAAAUCAUUUUGGAUAUUCUAGGUUCUUUGCUUCUUUAUAGAAAGUUUUAAAAAUCAGCUUGCCUAUCUCAAAAGAGCCUGCUGAGAUUUUGGGUUUGAUUGCACAGAUUCUAUAGAAUUUGUGGCAUAGUUCAAUUUGGGGAGAAAUUGAAUCUUGAUCCUGAGUCUUCCGAUUCAUGGACACAGUAUCUCUCUCCAUUUAGUUCAGUAAUACGGAGGGUUUGGGUUUUUAUCCUUUUAAGUCAAAAGGAGUGUUUUAAGUUACAGUUUAAAAGAAUAACACUGUCUGCUGUUUGAAGAUAGACUCUAGUGGGGCAGUGGUGGAAGCAGGUACAAUGUAGGAGGCUAUUUCUGUAAUCCUAGCAAGAAGUGAUGAUCACAGGGUGUUAGUUACUUUGAAGUGGUCAGGUUUUAGGUGUAAUUGAGGUUAGAGCCAAGAGUUUGAGAGCACACAUUUCCUCCCUACAACCUUGCAAAUAGAGUGUGCAUCAAACUUUGGGUUUUUACCAGUGUGACCUACAACUGAUCUCAGUUUAGUUCUCUAAGCUUUGCUUUUCUCGUGAGUAGGUGGGACAUCGUUUUUUGUUUUUAGUUCCUGAUAUUUCUUUGUUGUUGAACUCCUUAUCCCUUACCCAUUUUCCUAUUAAUGUGCUGAUUUUAAUGACUGCAUCCGGUAUACCCAUAUAGCACUUUUUCUGUGAUGUAAACUGC